rnacentral:rRNA from 1 species
UUCCCUCCAGAGUGGAUCCUGAGUACGGCGGAACACGUGAAAUUCCGUCGGAAUCCGGGAGGACCAUCUCCCAAGGCUAAAUACUCCCUAGUGACCGAUAGUGAACCAGUACCGUGAGGGAAAGGUGAAAAGCACCCCGGAAGGGGAGUGAAACAGUUCCUGAAACCGUGUGCCUACAAGUAGUUAGAGCCCGUUAAUGGGUGAUAGCGUGCCUUUUGUAGAAUGAACCGGCGAGUUACGAUUUGUUGCAAGGUUAAGCGGAAAAAGCGGAGCCGUAGCGAAAGCGAGUCUGAAUAGGGCGCAUAAGUAACAGGUCGUAGACCCGAAACCAGGUGAUCUACCCAUGUCCAGGAUGAAGGUAAGGUAAUACUUACUGGAGGUCCGAACCCACGCACGUUGAAAAGUGCGGGGAUGAGGUGUGGGUAGCGGAGAAAUUCCAAUCGAACUUGGAGAUAGCUGGUUCUCUCCGAAAUAGCUUUAGGGCUAGCCUCGAGGUAAAGAGUCAUGGAGGUAGAGCACUGUUUGGACUAGGGGCCCUUCUCGGGUUACCGAAUUCAGAUAAACUCCGAAUGCCAUGUACUUAUACUCGGGAGUCAGACUGCGAGUGAUAAGAUCCGUAGUCGAAAGGGAAACAGCCCAGACCACCAGUUAAGGUCCCCAAAUAUAUGUUAAGUGGAAAAGGAUGUGGGGUUGCUUAGACAACCAGGAUGUUGGCUUAGAAGCAGCCACCAUUGAAAGAGUGCGUAAUAGCUCACUGGUCGAGUGACCCCGCGCCGAAAAUGUACCGGGGCUAAACAUAUUACCGAAACUGUGGAUGAACCUCUUUAGAGGUUCGUGGUAGGAGAGCGUUCUAAGGGCGGUGAAGUCAGACCGGAAGGACUGGUGGAGCGCUUAGAAGUGAGAAUGCCGGUAUGAGUAGCGAAAGAAGGGUGAGAAUCCCUUCCACCGAAUAUCUAAGGUUUCCUGAGGAAGGCUCGUCCGCUCAGGGUUAGUCGGGACCUAAGCCGAGGCCGAUAGGCGUAGGCGAUGGACAACAGGUAGAGAUUCCUGUACCAGUGCUAAUUGUUUAACCGAUGGGGUGACACAGAAGGAUAGGGAAUCGCACGAAUGGAAAUGUGCGUCCAAGCAGUGAGUGUGAG